rnacentral:rRNA from 1 species
ACGCGAAAGUCUCUUCGGAGAUGAGUAGAGUGGCGCACGGGUGAGUAACGCGUGGAUAAUCUACCUAUUGGUACGGGACAACAGUUGGAAACGACUGCUAAUACCGUAUAAGCUGGAAACGGGAAAGGGGGCCUCUUCUUGAAAGCUCUCGCCAGUAGAUGAGUCCGCGUUUCAUUAGCUAGACGGUGGGGUAACGGCCUACCGUGGCAACGAUGAAUAGCAGGCCUGAGAGGGUGGCCUGCCACACUGGGACUGGAACACGGCCCAGACUCCUACGGGAGGCAGCAGUGGGGAAUAUUGCGCAAUGGACGAAAGUCUGACGCAGCGACGCCGCGUGGAGGAUGAAGGUUUUCGGAUCGUAAACUCCUGUCAAGAGGGAAGAAACCUAUUAAGAAUAAUACUCUUAGUAAUUGACGGUACCUCUAGAGGAAGCACCGGCUAAUUCAGUGCCAGCAGCCGCGGUAAUACUGAAGGUGCAAGCGUUAAUCGGAAUCACUGGGCGUAAAGCGCUCGUAGGUGGCUUUGUAAGUCAGAUGUGAAAGCCCACGGCUCAACCGUGGAAUUGCAUUUGAUACUGCAUCGCUAGAGUAUAGGAGAGGGAAGUGGAAUUUCUGGUGUAGGAGUGAAAUCCGUAGAGAUCAGAAGGAACACCGGUGGCGAAGGCGACUUCCUGGACUAUUACUGACACUGAGGAGCGAAAGCGUGGGGAGCAAACAGGAUUAGAUACCCUGGUAGUCCACGCCGUAAACGAUGGGUACUAAGUGUCGGAGGCUUGACCUUCGGUGCUGUAGUUAACGCGUUAAGUACCCCGCCUGGGGAGUACGGUCGCAAGGCUGAAACUCAAAGAAUUGACGGGGGCCCGCAC